rnacentral:rRNA from 1 species
UAAAAGUCGUAACAGGGUUUCCGUAGGUGAACCUGCGGAAGGAUCAUUAACGAAUCCAAUCUUACCUGCCUUAGCGGUUCAACCUUUGCUGUUUUUCGGGGUCGAGCGCUUGCGCUCGUUAAAUCGCCCGUGGGUGCUCGGACUUCGGUUCGUUCGGCGGGCCCCGGAUUAGUUUUUACCCACGCCUGUACCUCCUCAAUGCCUAAACGUAUCAGAUCCUCGGUUGGGCCUCGGCUCGAUCGGGAGUUGCCUUAAAAGCGAACAACUUUUAACGGUGGAUCUCUUGGCUCGUGUAUCGAUGAAGAACGCAGCAAACUGCGAUAAGUAAUGUGAAUUGCAGAAUUUAGUGAAUCAUCGAAUCUUUGAACGCAAAUGGCGCUCUUGGGCAAUCCCAGGAGCACGUCUGUCUGAGCGUCGUUUCUCGCAUCCAAUCGCAAGAUUGCUAUCUUACGAUCGGGCAAUGAGGCGUCCCUUUGUUCUAUCCUGAACGAACGGUCCCUUGAAAUGAAGCGAUCCCGAGUUGCGCGGAAACCCUUCGUGGUCCGUCCCCUCGGUGUGGUAGAAAUAUCUCAUCGGAAGGAGUCGAGCGACGUGGUUGCGUGGAAGCCCUCUCAUACGGAGCGUCUGGAAAGGAAGGCUCUCUCUCCGGAGAAAGACUGACCAAUCAAGACCUCAGAUCAGGCGAGACUACCCGCUGAACUUAAGCAUAUCAAUA